AAGGCUAAACUGUCACAUUUAACACCGGCUGACCAGGUUAACAAGGUCUCUGAAGGACUCGCCUUCACAGACCACACAGACCACAAAGACCGAGUCCUUCUAAGACAGAAACUCUGGUCUGUUCAGGCCCUGUUGUGUUUUAUUGGCUGCUCCACGUCAGUCUAGUGAGGAAACUGUGUUUAUUCUUGAACCCCCUGAAACCUGAAGACCUUCAGUCUGACAUUUCAUUCAACUUGCAGCGUGUCAACCACACAGGGACCUGCCGCACAUCAUGCCAGUGUGGCUGUGCAGGAGGUGCAUGUCCUGACUGAGGAGGAGGAGGAUGAAGAGGGACGGGUGGAUGAUCCAGUAGAGUCUCAGCAUCGUGUGGAUCUUUUGGUUGUAGAAGGAAAACACACUUUCCCCUCGGCUAACUCGUCACACUGAUACUGUGUCACCGACAGAUCGACAGGUCAUGAAGGUUUUCCAGCAGAAUACGUUCGUACAAGGCAGAAUAUCUCCUUCAGUGCACAAAGAAGAGGUGAAAUAUACAAAUUACUGAAGAAAUAACGUGAACGUAGAGCUCACUGAAGCUGCAAAACAACAAACAUCCAGGUGAAAUACUGACCCUGCCUUCCAUUACCCAGAAUUCCACACUGAUAAGUACGACAGAAGGAGAUUUAGUCUGUCUCAAUGCAAAGUGUCUGAAAUGCAGUAUCCCAAAAAUAUCAGAUGUCACACAACAUCUUUUUGCAGCAUGAAAGCCAGUGUGCUUUUCUGGCUAUGAGGACCCACAAUCCUUUGCAGCGGAUUACACAUCAGAUACUUCAGAGCGUCACACACAUGAAUAAAGCU